rnacentral:rRNA from 1 species
UACGUAGGGUGCGAGCGUUGUCCGGAAUUAUUGGGCGUAAAGAGCUCGUAGGCGGUUUGUCACGUCUGCUGUGAAAUCCCGAGGCUCAACCUCGGGCCUGCAGUGGGUACGGGCAGACUGGAGUGCGGUAGGGGAGAAUGGAAUUCCUGGUGUAGCGGUGGAAUGCGCAGAUAUCAGGAGGAACACCGAUGGCGAAGGCAGUUCUCUGGGCUAGCACUGACGCUCAGGCACGAAAGCGUGGGGAGCAAACAGG